AACGAACGCUGGCGGCAGGCCUAACACAUGCAAGUCGAGCGAGGACUUCGGUCCUAGCGGCGGACGGGUGAGUAACGCGUGGGAACGUGCCCUUUGCUACGGAAUAGCCUCGGGAAACUGGGAGUAAUACCGUAUGUGCCCUUCGGGGGAAAGAUUUAUCGGCAAAGGAUCGGCCCGCGUUGGAUUAGGUAGUUGGUGGGGUAAUGGCCUACCAAGCCGACGAUCCAUAGCUGGUUUGAGAGGAUGAUCAGCCACACUGGGACUGAGACACGGCCCAGACUCCUACGGGAGGCAGCAGUGGGGAAUCUUAGACAAUGGGCGCAAGCCUGAUCUAGCCAUGCCGCGUGAGCGAUGAAGGCCUUAGGGUUGUAAAGCUCUUUCAGUGGGGAAGAUAAUGACGGUACCCACAGAAGAAGCCCCGGCUAACUCCGUGCCAGCCGCCGCCGUAACAC
rnacentral:rRNA from 1 species